UACAGAGGGGGCGAGCGUUGUUCGGAAUUACUGGGCGUAAAGGGCGCGUAGGCGGCCUGCUAAGUCAUACGUGAAAUCCCUCGGCUCAACCGAGGAACUGCGUCUGAUACUGGUUGGCUUGAAUUCGGGAGAGGGAUGCGGAAUUCCAGGUGUAGCGGUGAAAUGCGUAGAUAUCUGGAGGAACACCGGUGGCGAAGGCGGCGCUCUGGACCGAGACUGACGCUGAGGCGCGAAAGCGUGGGGAGCAAACAGG
rnacentral:rRNA from 1 species